rnacentral:rRNA from 1 species
CUCAGGAUGAACGCUGGCGGCGUGCUUAACACAUGCAAGUCGAACGGGAUCCAUCGGGCUUUGCCUGGUGGUGAGAGUGGCGAACGGGUGAGUAAUGCGUGACCGACCUGCCCCAUGCACCGGAAUAGCUCCUGGAAACGGGUGGUAAUGCCGGAUGCUCCAUCACACCGCAUGGUGUGUUGGGAAAGCCUUUGCGGCAUGGGAUGGGGUCGCGUCCUAUCAGCUUGAUGGCGGGGUAACGGCCCACCAUGGCUUCGACGGGUAGCCGGCCUGAGAGGGCGACCGGCCACAUUGGGACUGAGAUACGGCCCAGACUCCUACGGGAGGCAGCAGUGGGGAAUAUUGCACAAUGGGCGCAAGCUGAUGCAGCGACGCCGCGUGAGGGAUGGAGGCCUUCGGGUUGUAAACCUCUUUUGUUAGGGAGCAAGGCACUUUGUGUUGAGUGUACCUUUCGAAUAAGCACCGGCUAACUACGUGCCAGCAGCCGCGGUAAUACGUAGGGUGCAAGCKUUAUCCGGAAUUAUUGGGCGUAAAGGGCUCGUAGGCGGUUCGUCGCGUCCGGUGUGAAAGUCCAUCGCUUAACGGUGGAUCCGCGCCGGGUACGGGCGGGCUUGADUGCGGUAGGGGAGACUGGAAUUCCCGGUGUAACGGUGGAAUGUGUAGAUAUCGGGAAGAACACCAAUGGCGAAGGCAGGUCUCUGGGCCGUUACUGACGCUGAGGAGCGAAACUNGGGGAGCGAACAVGAUUARAUACCCUGGUAGUCCACGCCGUAAACGGUGGAUGCUGGAUGUGGGGCCCGUUCCACGGGUUCCGUGUCGGAGCUAACGCGUUAAGCAUCCCGCCUGNGAGUACGGCCGCAAGCUAA